CGCACAGCAGCAGCUCCACCUGACAGAUCCUGGAUCAGGACGACAUGAGACCUGGAGCUGGAGGCGGGCCAACACAACACAAGUCCUGCCUGCAGAUGAAUAAACGUUGUGCACAAACAAUCAGAUAAAGUGCCAUAGUCAGCAGAUUGCACUGUCCAGAGUAACUUGGUCUUCAAGCUCUUCCUGUCGGCGCAGAGGUUUGUUUAAAAGACAACAAGCAGCAGUGUCCGCUCAGUCCUGUGAGAACUUCCAGCUCCUGAGGAAGAGACCAACUUGAAUCAUGGCUGCGAGGACUCUGGUGGUGGCCUGCGCGCUCUUCUUGGGACUCUGCAUCAUCACGAGCAGCAAACCAGCGGACACAACA